AAGUCAGAUGUGAAAUCCCCCGGGGCUCAACCUGGGAAACUGCAUCUGAUACUGGGCAAAGCUUGAGUCUCGUAGAGGGGGGGUAGAAUUUCCAGGUGUAGCGGUGAAAUGCGUAGAGAUCUGGAGGAAAUACCGGUGGCGAAAGGCGGCCCCCCUGGACGAAGACUGACGCUCAGGUGCGAAAGCGUGGGGAGCAAACAGGAUUAGAUACCCUGGUAGUCCACGCCGUAAACGAUGUCGACUUGGAGGUUGUGCCCUUGAGGCGUGGCUUCCGGGAGCUAACGCGUUAAGUCGACCGCCUGGGGGGAGUACGGCCGCAAGGUUAAAACUCAAAUGAAUUGACCGGGGGCCCGGCACAAGCGGUGGAGCCAUGUGGAUUCAAUCCGAUGCAACGCGAAGAACCUAACCUGAUCUUGACAUCCACGGAAGGUUU
rnacentral:rRNA from 1 species